rnacentral:rRNA from 1 species
GUGCAGCAGGCGCGAAACCUCCGCAAUGUGAGAAAUCGCGACGGGGGGAUCCCAAGUGCCAUUCUUAACGGGAUGGCUUUUCAUUAGUGUAAAGAGCUUUUGGAAUAAGGGCUGGGCAAGACCGGUGCCAGCCGCCGCGGUAACACCGGCAGCUCUAGUGGUAGCAGUUUUUAUUGGGCCUAAAGCGUCCGUAGCCGGUUUAAUAAGUCUCUGGUGAAAUCCUGUAGCUUAACUGUGGGAAUUGCUGGAGAUACUAUUAGACUUGAGACCGGGAGAGGUUAGAGGUACUCCCAGGGUAGAGGUGAAAUUCUGUAAUCCUGGGAGGACCGCCUGUUGCGAAGGCGUCUAACUGGAACGGUUCUGACGGUGAGGGACGAAAGUUAGGGGCGCGAACCGGAUUAGAUACCCGGGUAGUCC